rnacentral:rRNA from 1 species
UGCAGUCGAGCGAUGAAGCUUCCUUCGGGAAGUGGAUUAGCGGCGGACGGGUGAGUAACACGUGGGUAACCUGCCUCAAAGUGGGGGAUAGCCUUCCGAAAGGAAGAUUAAUACCGCAUAAUAUAAGAGAAUCGCAUGAUUUUCUUAUCAAAGAUUUAUUGCUUUGAGAUGGACCCGCGGCGCAUUAGCUAGUUGGUAAGGUAAUGGCUUACCAAGGCAACGAUGCGUAGCCGACCUGAGAGGGUGAUCGGCCACAUUGGAACUGAGACACGGUCCAGACUCCUACGGGAGGCAGCAGUGGGGAAUAUUGCGCAAUGGGGGAAACCCUGACGCAGCAACGCCGCGUGGGUGAUGAAGGUCUUCGGAUUGUAAAGCCCUGUUUUCUGGGACGAUAAUGACGGUACCAGAGGAGGAAGCCACGGCUAACUACGUGCCAGCAGCCGCGGUAAUACGUAGGUGGCGAGCGUUGUCCGGAUUUACUGGGCGUAAAGGGUGCGUAGGCGGAUGUUUAAGUGGGAUGUGAAAUCCCCGGGCUUAACCUGGGGGCUGCAUUCCAAACUGGAUAUCUAGAGUGCAGGAGAGGAAAGCGGAAUUCCUAGUGUAGCGGUGAAAUGCGUAAGAGAUUAGGAAGA